CCUACGGGUGGCUGCAGUGAGGAAUAUUGGGCAAUGGACGCAACUCUGACCCAGCCAUGCCGCGUGAGUGAAGAAGGUUUUCGGGUUGUAAAGCUCUUUCGGCUGUGACGAUAAUGACGGUAGCCGCUAACCCCUCCCCGGCUCACUUCGUUACAGCAGCCGCGGUCAUCCUAAGGGGGCAAGCGUUUAUCGGAAUUACUGGGCGUAAAGGGGGUGUAGGCGGUUUAGUAAGAUAGUGGUGAAAUCCCAGGGCUUAACCUUGGAAUUGCCAUUAUAACUAUUAGACUAGACUGAAAGAGAGGUGAGCGGAAUACCAAGUGUAGAGGUGAAAUGCGUAGAUAUUGGGCAGAACACCAGUGGCGAAGGCGACUAGCUGGAUGGAGACUGACGCUGAGGCUCGAAAGCAUGGGGAUCAAACAGGAUUAGAUACCCGAGUAGUC
rnacentral:rRNA from 1 species